AUUGAACGCUGGCGGCAGGCCUAACACAUGCAAGUCGAGCGGUAGCACAGGAGAGCUUGCUCUCUGGGUGACGAGCGGCGGACGGGUGAGUAAUGUCUGGGAAACUGCCUGAUGGAGGGGGAUAACUACUGGAAACGGUAGCUAAUACCGCAUAACGUCUUCGGACCAAAGUGGGGGACCUUCGGGCCUCACGCCAUCAGAUGUGCCCAGAUGGGAUUAGCUAGUAGGUGGGGUAAUGGCUCACCUAGGCGACGAUCCCUAGCUGGUCUGAGAGGAUGACCAGCCACACUGGAACUGAGACACGGUCCAGACUCCUACGGGAGGCAGCAGUGGGGAAUAUUGCACAAUGGGCGCAAGCCUGAUGCAGCCAUGCCGCGUGUGUGAAGAAGGCCUUCGGGUUGUAAAGCACUUUCAGCGAGGAGGAAGGGUGGUGUGUUAAUAGCGCAUCACAUUGACGUUACUC
rnacentral:rRNA from 1 species